rnacentral:SRP_RNA from 1 species
GCCAGGUGCAGUGGCGCAUGCCUGUAGCCCCAGCUACUUGGGAGGCUGAGGCUGGAGGAUCGCUUGAGCCCAGGAGUUCUGGGCUGUAGUACGCUAUGCUGAUCGGGUGUCCGCACUAAGUUUGACAUCAAUAUGGUGACCUCCCGGGAGCGGGGAGCCACCAGGUUGCCUAAGGAGGGCUGAACCGGCCCAGGUCGGAAACGGAGCAGGUCAAAACUCCCAUGCCGAUCAGUAGUGGGAUCGCGCCUGUGAAUAGCCACUGCACUCCAGCUUGGGCAACAUAGUGAGACCCCGUCUCU